rnacentral:rRNA from 1 species
GACGAACGCUGGCGGCGUGCUUAACACAUGCAAGUCAUGGGGACCCAAGGCGCAAGCCGUGGGUAACCGGCGAACGGGUGCGUAACACGUGAGUGACCUGCCGAUUUGUGGGGGAUAGCCGGGCCAACGCCCGGGUAAUACCGCAUACGCUCUUCUUGGGGCAUCUCUAGAAGAGGAAACCUCCGGGGCAAAUCGAGGGACUCGCGGCCUAUCAGCUAGUUGGCGAGGUAACGGCUCACCAAGGCUACGACGGGUAGCUGGUCUGAGAGGAUGGCCAGCCACAUUGGGACUGAGAUACGGCCCAGACUCCUACGGGAGGCAGCAGUGGGGAAUAUUGCGCAAUGGCCUAACGGCUGACGCAGCGACGCCGCGUGUGGGAUGACGCCCUUCGGGGUGUAAACCACUGUUGCUCGAGACGAAUAGCGAGCUUUAGCUCGCCUGACGGUAUCGAGUGAGGAAGCACCGGCUAACUCCGUGCCAGCAGCCGCGGUAAUACGGAGGGUGCGAGCGUUGUCCGGAAUCACUGGGCGUAAAGGGCGCGUAGGUGGUCAGGUAAGGGUGUGGUGAAAGUCCGGGGCUCAACCCCGGAUCUGCCGUGCCGACUGCUUGACUGGAGCAUUGCAGAGGCAGAUGGAAUUCCGGGUGUAGCGGUGGAAUGCGUAGAGAUCCGGAAGGAAGACCGGUGGCGAAGGCGAUCUGCUUGGGGCAAUUGGGUUGCACACUGAGGGCGGCGACAGGCGUGGGGAGGCAAACCAGGGAUUCAGAUUAACCCUGGGU